rnacentral:rRNA from 1 species
CAGUAGCCGCGGUAAAACGAAGGGGGCUAGCGUUGUUCGGAAUUACUGGGCGUAAAGCGCACGUAGGCGGAUAUUUAAGUCAGGGGUGAAAUCCCAGAGCUCAACUCUGGAACUGCCUUUGAUACUGGGUAUCUUGAGUAUGGAAGAGGUGAGUGGAAUUCCGAGUGUAGAGGUGAAAUUCGUAGAUAUUCGGAGGAACACCAGUGGCGAAGGCGGCUCACUGGUCCAUUACUGACGCUGAAGUGCGAAAGCGUGGGGAGCAAACAGGAUUAGAGACCCCCGUAGUCCCUGUCUCUUAUAA